rnacentral:rRNA from 1 species
GAUGAACGCUAGCGGGAGGCUUAACACAUGCAAGUCGAGGGGUAAAUGGUAGCAAUACUAUGAGACCGGCGGACGGGUGCGUAACGCGUAUGCAACAUACCUUGUGCAGGGGGAUAGCCCGUGGAAACGCGGAUUAAUAUUCCAUAGUCCAGCUAUAUCGCAAGGUAUAGUUGGUAAAGAUUUAUCGGCACAAGUUUGGCAUGCGUCUGAUUAGCUUGUUGGUAGGGUAACGGCCUACCAAGGCUACGAUCAGUAGGGGUUCUGAGAGGAUUAACCCCCACACUGGUACUGAGACACGGACCAGACUCCUACGGGAGGCAGCAGUGAGGAAUAUUGGUCAAUGGGCGCAAGCCUGAACCAGCCAUGUCGCGUGCAGGAAGACUGCCCUAUGGGUUGUAAACUGCUUUUAUAGUAGAAGAAACACAUCUACGUGUAGAUGUCUGCCAAUAUACUAUGAAUAAGCAUCGGCUAACUCCGUGCCAGCAGCCGCGGUAAUACGGAGGAUGCAAGCGUUAUCCGGAUUUAUUGGGUUUAAAGGGUGCGUAGGCGGGACUGUAAGUCAGGGGUGAAAUACUGCAGCUUAACUGUAGCAUUGCCUUUGAAACUGCCGUUCUUGAGUACAGUUGAGGUAGGCGGAAUGUGGUGUGUAGCGGUGAAAUGCAUAGAUAUACCACAGAACGCCGAUUGCGAAGGCAGCUUACUAAGCUGUUACUGACGCUGAGGCACGAAAGCGUGGGGAUCAAACAGGAUUAGAUACCCUGGUAGUCCACGCUGUAAACGAUGAUUACUGGUUGUUAGCGAUAUAUAGCUAGUGACUGAGCGAAAGCAUUAAGUAAUCCACCUGGGGAGUACGUCGGCAACGAUGAAACUCAAAGGAAUUGACGGGGGCCCGCACAAGCGGAGGAACAUGUGGUUUAAUUCGAUGAUACGCGAGGAACCUUACCUGGGUUUAAAUGGGGAGUGACAGGUGUCGAAAGAUGCUUUUCCUUCGGGACACUCUUCAAGGUGCUGCAUGGUUGUCGUCAGCUCGUGCCGUGAGGUGUCGGGUUAAGUCCCAUAACGAGCGCAACCCUUGCCGAUAGUUGCCAUCACGUAAAGGUGGGCACUCUAUCGGGACUGCCGGUGUAAACCGUGAGGAAGGUGGGGAUGACGUCAAAUCAGCACGGCCCUUACAUCCAGGGCUACACACGUGUUACAAUGGCCAGUACAGAGGGCCGCUACCCCGCGAGGGGAUGCCAAUCUCGAAAGCUGGUCUCAGUUCGGAUUGAAGUCUGGAACCCGACUUCAUGAAGCCGGAUUCGCUAGUAAUCGCGCAUCAGCCACGGCGCGGUGAAUACGUUCCCGGGCCU